rnacentral:lncRNA from 1 species
GCCUACUGAAUUUUCUGGACAAGAAGCUUAAAAAUUGCCGCUACCAGAUUUCCUACAAUAAAAAUGUACAACCAAAAAGACCAAAAUAUUCACGAGUCCCUCGAUCUCAAAAGCUGCUUAAUGCCCCGUACUCCCGAUAUGAACCCCAUCUGGUGCCACACCUCCUUAUAGCCCGGCAACCUUACUAAAUCUAACAUGUUGUCAAUCGUUAAUUAACUGAAAUGAUUCACGAUGUUAAUCAAUAUACCUAAUUUUUUUUUAAUUUGCAUGUCAAAUAUAAAAUAAAAAAUCAUUUGCAAUGAAUUCGUAACAUCCUAAUAUCCUAUUGACAAACCAGGUUGUAUUCCGCCUGGUUCUUCUGUCGAACAGUCAGCCAGGAUCCAAGGCUAUCAUUUUACUCUAAAAAUGACCAAAUACAUACUCCUUUGGCCAAACCCCAAAUAAUGUGCAAAUAUUUUCGUGGAGAAAUAAAAUUAAAGAACCUUAGUGAGCGCGCUUACAUGCCCCACGUCCCCAC